UACGUAGGGGGCGAGCGUUAAUCGGAAUUACUGGGCGUAAAGCGUGCGCAGGCGGUUUUGUAAGCCGGAGGUGAAAGCCCCGGGCUUAACCUGGGAAUGGCAUUUGGGACUGCAAGGCUUGAGUGCGGCAGAGGAGACUGGAAUUCCUGGUGUAGCAGUGAAAUGCGUAGAUAUCAGGAGGAAUACCGAUGGCGAAGGCAGGUCUCUGGGCUGACACUGACGCUCAUGCACGAAAGCGUGGGGAGCAAACAGG
rnacentral:rRNA from 1 species